rnacentral:rRNA from 1 species
GACGAACGCGGCGGCGUGCUUAACACAUGCAAGUCGAACGGAGCGAAUGAAAGCUUGCUUUUAUAAGCUUAGUGGCAAACGGGUGAGUAACACGUAGGCAACCUGCCGACAGGAUGGGGACAACAUUCCGAAAGGAAUGCUAAUACCGAAUGAAGCGCAGGGGAGGCAUCUCUCCUGCGUGAAAGAUGGCCUCUAUAUAUAAGCUAUCACCUGUCGAUGGGCCUGCGUCUGAUUAGCUGGUAGGUGAGGUAACGGCUCACCUAGGCGACGAUCAGUAGCCGGUCUGAGAGGAUGAACGGCCACAUUGGGACUGAGACACGGCCCAGACUCCUACGGGAGGCAGCAGUGGGGAAUCUUCCGCAAUGGGCGCAAGCCUGACGGAGCAACGCCGCGUGAGUGAAGAAGGUCUUCGGAUCGUAAAGCUCUGUUGAUGGGGACGAACGUGCCUAAUGCGAAUAGUAUUAGGUAAUGACGGACCCAUCAGGAGCC